UCAUUGUUUUCGUAGGACCUAAGUA
rnacentral:sRNA from 1 species